UACGUAGGGUGCAAGCGUUGUCCGGAAUUAUUGGGCGUAAAGAACUCGUAGGCGGUCUGUCACGUCGGCUGUGAAAUCCCGAGGCUCAACCUCGGGUCUGCGGUCGAUACGGGCAAACUAGAGUAUUGCAGGGGAGACUGGAAUUCCUGGUGUAGCGGUGAAAUGCGCGGAUAUCAGGAGGAACACCGGUGGCGAAGGCGGGUCUCUGGGCAAUAACUGACGCUGAGGAGCGAAAGCGUGGGGAGCAAACAGG
rnacentral:rRNA from 1 species